UACGUAGGUGGCAAGCGUUGUUCGGAAUUACUGGGCGUAAAGGGCGCGUAGGCGGCCAGACAAGUCAGAUGUGAAAGCCCCGGGCUCAACUCGGGAAUUGCAUCUGAGACUGACUGGCUUGAGUUCUGGAGGGGGUAGUGGAAUUCCCAGUGUAGCGGUGAAAUGCGUAGAUAUUGGGAGGAACACUUGCGGCGAAGGCGGCUACCUGGACAGAAACUGACGCUGAGGCGCGAAAGCUAGGGGAG
rnacentral:rRNA from 1 species